ensembl:lncRNA
CCCCCUGCCCCUGUAGAAGACACCUGCUGCUGCCUGAGGAACACACAGGUCAGGAGGCUCCCAGCCAGACCACCCUGCCCCUGUAGAAGACACCUGUUGCUGCCUGAGGAACACACAAGUCAGGAGGCUCCCAGCCAGACCACCCUGCCCCUGUAGAAGACACCUGUUGCUGCCUGAGGAACACACAGAGUCUCCAGUUGAGGGGGGCUACCAACUGUACCCACCGCUGCCAUCCAACCAGCUGCAUUUGAUCCCCCCAGCCACCUGGAGUGUGGCCAACCAAUGACUUUCCCACAAUUUACCUGUGGAUUCAAGAGAAACUCCCCAGUCUGGCCCGGAAAAAAAGAGUUGUUGUUCCAGCACUCCGCCACCAGAUGGGGCAGUCAUAUUAAGAACCCAGGUGGGGAGAAGGGAAGAAGGACUUGAUGAUGCCAUUGCCAAUGGUUGAAGGUAACUUGACCAAGAUUGGGGUGAGAGUGGAGGAUGAGCUGGAAAGAAGGAGAGGAGAGCUGAAUGAGCGGUGUUGUACGUGUAUUACUGGGUGAUAUUAUUUUGAGAGUGGGACAGAGCUUGGUCAGUGUUUUUUACUCGUGCUUUUUAAAAAUGUACUUUAAAAAAAAUCUCAGUAUUUCUGUACAUUGUUUUUUGAUCGUCAGUAUCCUUCCCCCUUGACAACAUAUAGAGAACUGAUC